UACGGAGGGUGCGAGCGUUGUCCGGAAUCACUGGGCGUAAAGGGCGCGUAGGCGGCUGGGGAGUCGGCGGUGAAAGCCCGGAGCUCAACUCCGGGUCGGCCGUCGAGACUCCUCGGCUCGAGCUCACUAGAGGCAGAUGGAAUUCCGGGUGUAGCGGUGGAAUGCGUAGAGAUCCGGAAGAACACCGGUGGCGAAGGCGGUCUGCUGGGGUGAGGCUGACGCUGAUGCGCGACAGCGUGGGGAGCAAACAGG
rnacentral:rRNA from 1 species